rnacentral:misc_RNA from 1 species
UCUCCGUAGGUUAACCUUCGGAGGGAUCAUUACUGAGUGAGGGCUUCGGUCCGACCUCCAACCCCCUGCCUUCCGACUCUGUUGCCUCGGGGGCGACCCGGCCCUCUGGGCGUCGGGGCCCCCGGUGGCUCACACCUCAACUCUUGCAUCUGUGCGUCUGAGUAACAUAUUGAAUCAAUCAAAACUUUCAACAACGGAGCUCUUGGUUCUGGCAUCGAUGAAGAACGCAGC